GACGACAGCCGCACCCCCACCUCCCGCCACCUUUGUUUUCCUCACGCGCGCAUACGCUCACAGCCGAGAAGGCAAGCAUGCUGACUAUCUACCUACUCAUUGUGAGCGAUACUGAGCAGUCCUACGUGUGACGGGUUGUGUUGUAGCAUGAGCCAUCCACAUAGAGGCAUCCUCGGACUAACUGUAUGCGCACAGUCAUUUGUCUGUGGAUCCAUAAAUACUAUAUCGUAUCCACGGAGAAGAACGACAGAAGAAAACACUGCAGCGUGACCUGUGCAAAAAGAUAGUAUGCUAAUGCACAGUGACACUGCUUUGGAAAUAUUAAUCUCGUGGAGAUAAACCCCAAAAAUGCAGGCGAUUAUCGCUGUCACAAAAGGCCAUUGUGACAGGUGUUGUGUUAUGUCACAAAGCCAAACUUUAUUUUCCCCAGCCAUCAUUUCAUCCAAACAAUGUGGGUAUUCUCAAAUUAAUUGGAAAAAUAUAACUCUUGAUAUCCUCUUGUUGGCAUUUGAAUCAGCUCAUGUCUAAAUCAGCAAUCCCCAACCUCUUCUAAGGCACUGCACUAUUUUAGUGUUCUUGCAUCCCCAAAAGUAAUAUCUUAUUUGAAGAUAAAUGCAAUGUUAUACUAGAUUUUAGAAGAAAACAACAUUUUUGAAUGUACUGUAUUUUCACAUUAAAUUAAAAAUGUCUCCCAAAAUAUUUGAAACACAUCUUCUAAAACUAUAACCAAGUGCCAGUAAUAUAUUAUCUAUUCGACAAAUUUGUUGCUUUAAGUUACACAAUAAGAUGCAUAUUUGCUAAGUAUGAGUACACUUCCACUUGCUUUAGAAGGGGAGUCACCACUAAACAUUUUAAAAAAUGUGUACUUUAUAUGGUUAGGUUUAUGAUUAUCAAUGAUGACACAUGAUGGUGUUGGCAUCAAUGGUGACUCUCUGAUCUUCUCUGAUCAGUUCCUAAACCCUAGCACUAUUCCCAGGAUUAACUGCUGGAAAUGGUCUGCCGAUCCUUGGCUAGUCACAGAGGUCACUCAAAGCAGGCUCUUGUUCUUAAGCUUUGAUCCUGGACACCCACUUUUUGACUAUGCUGUUGCCUAUUGCAGCUUCCCCAUAUAUUGUAACCUUUUGAAAAUGUUUAGUGGUGGUUCCCCUUUCAAAGCAAGAAAUUCAGUCACAACUCUCUGCCUCUGACGGGCAUCCAGCAAUGACCUCAUUUCCAAAAUGGCUGACAGUAAGAGGACAGGCUGAAACAAAACUUUAAAAAAAGCGUUAAACAAGUAUUUAAACUACAAACUGUAAACAUUUCAGAAAAUAAAAUUCAAUUAUUAGUAGGUUAAAUUUUAUUGGGCUCAUUACCUUUUGACUGCCCCUCGUACAUCUGAGCCGUAGUACUUGCCCAGUGAUUCUUUCACGUACCACUAGAGAAAGUAUGUGUACCACUAGUGGCACCACAUAAGAAUCACUGCUAUACAUAACAUAUGGGGGGUAAAAAGAAAAAAAUAAAGGGGUAAAAAGGCAAUUGUUUUUGAAAAACUAAAUAACAUUGACAAUUCAUCCAUCCAUCCAUCCAUCCAUUUUCUGAGCCGCUUAUACGCACAAGGGUCGCGGGAGUGCUGGAGCCUAUCCCAGCUACAUUGACAAUUGUGAUGCUCUAAACACAACUUUUGAAUAGUAAACUUCCUUUUAUUCAUUAAUUUAUUUUCCGUACCGCUUAUCCUCACUAGGGUCGCGGGCAUGCUGGAGCCUAUCCCAGCUAACUGUGGGCGAGACGUGGGGUACACCUUGAACUGGUCGCCAGCCAAUCGCAGGGCACAUCUAAAAAAACAACCAUUUGCGGGCACGGGCAAUUUAGAGUCUUCAAUUAACCUUCCAUGCAUGUUUUUGGGAUGUGGGAGGAAACCGGAGUACCCGGAGAAAACCCACGCAGGUACGGGGAGAACAUACAAACUCCACACAGGCGAGGCCGGAUUUGAACCCGGGUUCUAAGAACUGUGAGGCAGAUGUGCUGAACAGUCGUCCACUGUGCCGCCUAAACUGGCUUUUAUUCCUUGAAUAAUUGUAUACACGUGACAAUGGAAUAGUGUAAAAGAUAAAAAAUAAAACAUACAAAAAUGUUCAAAUGAAACGAAAAAAGACAAACAGUACUUGUGUAACAGCUGGAUUAUAGCUCGAUUGAUCAUGCCUGAAACCCACUUUGCAAUUAACCCACACCUAAUUCGGUAAGGGAAUCAAAAUGCUGGGCACAACAUAACAUGGGUUGAACAUUUUCAUUAGGCGAACAAACCACACAUCUUCGACCACAAAAAAUAGUAGCAAAUCUUUAAUAAUGCCGUUUAUCCUAAGUGCCACGAUAGGUGAGUUCAAAAGCAUUCUCAAUUGACACUUGUUGUUUCGCUUAGGUUACCUUUUGGUGUCGCUCAACUGUUGUGUGUCAAGCAAGCGUUAUAUAAGUAUGCAAACAGAACCUUGGUCAUAUUGCUUGUGUUUCCUUAAAAAGUAUGGGAUGUAUUAUAAGGCAAGCAAUGUUUCACACGGUAAAAUGUUUGUAAACACUUUUCAACAGUUUCUCUCCCUCUUCGUUAUAUUUAUAAUCAAAAGUGAAAUUAAUCCGCACCAGAGAUUUGAAUGAAGCCAGUGCUUCUUCAAAAUUUGGUCUCAAAUCCACCACUUGUGCUAAUAGUGGUUUUACAUUAUACUGCACUUUGAAGCUGGAUACAGUUACGACUGUGUGUGGGUGAAUGCGCAACAGGCUCGCGCGCACACACACACACAUCAAUGAACAAUGAAUUGCCAAACCCCAAAAAAACUGUCCAUAAGGGCGUAUUGUCCCGUGCAGAGCAUACCGAACGGUCCUCGGUACUGUCCCCAGUAUCAAUUGUUUCUAGUACUUGCAAUGUGAUAGUGGUGGUAUUAUGAGAUGGAUUAAGUCCCCACUGAGGGGCCAGGUAACAAACGUGCGGCCUGCCACUGAAUAUAUUUAUUCCACGGCUUAUGUUAUGAAAAUAUCAUAACUUUUGAAUUGGAUAUCAUCAAACUGUGCCCAGCCAUCAUUUCCCACUUGACAGCUCUUCAAAAUCCAUAGUUGUAACCAAAAGCAUUCAUUAUGUAACCGGUGGCAUCUCGGUGAGUGACUCGCACUUUCCACGAAUAACCGUGUCACUUCAACAUGUUUGCACGCAUUUUGUAUGUGUGUGUGCCUCACAUUAGCAAAUGCCGGCGACCUUGCGACGAAGGCUGUGUUUUGGAUGAUGGAGUGGACCGAGGUUGCCACAGCAGGGGCUGACGGACCCCUAUGGAGUGACUACAAACUGCCUCGUACGUGUCCCAAAACACAGCAGGGGGUGAGCUGGGGUGGGCGCGGGUGGUCAGUAACCUGAGCACGGCUCAGCCGUUGUUAUAGCAGCCUGUGUUUGUGUUACAUAACGCUGGCUUUAGCAAUAAUAGUCCAGUAGUAUGUACUACCAGGGGGAAAUCUAACGGCGUCAACAGAAAGAGGAGGAGGGUGUUGAGGUGAUGGGAGAUGAGGAGGUCGGACCUACAGAUGGUGCUAAGUAGGAAGAACAGCUGGCAUGUAGACGCUAAAGUUUGGAUGGAGGCUGUUUUUAAUUUUUUUUUUUAAUGAAAUAAUGUUUCAUUUAAACUCUUUGCUAUGUCAGAUUAUUGACAUCUCAUAAUGUGCUCUAGGAAAGAGAUAUAGUAGAUAUUAUGGAUGGGCAUCAUAUUUGAUUUGCAAUCAAUCAUUAAGAAUUAUGAUAAUUGCGCGGUAUUGUUUUCUGAUUAUCAAUUACAAAGUUAACUAAUUAUAAUAAUGGUGGGGGACAGUCCCUCACCAGUUGGUGCUGUAUAUAAACAUGUAUACUUUGUAUUUUAUAUUUAAUAGAGAAUAGUUGUUCAAUAGUUGUUCAAUUGUGAAAUUGUGUAUAGGGUUUGAAGUAGUAUGUGAGUGUCUGGCACCUUUUGCAUUCUGUUAUCUGUCUGUCUUUGUUUUUAGUACAGAUUUCUUAUUUACGACAGAAGAGUUAUUCAAUUUCGAAAUCAAUGUAUGAAAUGAAAAGCUGUUUUUGGACAAAUUCCCUUAGUGUCUGUGUGACUUCCUGUUAGCGGUUCUGUGGCAAUGUUUUUAUUGCUUGGACUACCAAGUUUAUAUUUAAUACAGAGCAGUGUUUCAGUUGUGAAGAGAAUGUGCUGCAUAUAAACUGUAUCGUAGUACUUAUAGUGUUUUGGGAGAAAUUCCAGUUACAGUAAGAGCAAGGUGUCAGCGUCGCUGUUUUUCUUCGUUUCUGAUUUUAUACUGUAUUCAAUACAGAAUCGUGAUUAAAUUGUGAAACGAAUGUGUUCAAUUGUCUCCUCAUACUUAUAGUGUUAUUUUCGGGAGAAAUUAUAGCCGCAGUAUAAGAGCAAGAGGCCUGCGUCCCUGCUGUUCCUUUUUUCUGAUAUCAUAUUGAAUAACGAUGGAUUAAAAUGAUAUGAAAUGA